GGUUAGUACGUCAUACGUCAAUGAUGACGAUAUCACGCAUGCGUCUACGCACCACCUCAGACCACCUCAAAAAAAAAAGAAGCGUAACUGCUGAUCUAGGAUCAGCACAUCAACACAGUCUGUUGAAAGAAAAAAAAACAAAAACCAGAUGAAAAGACAGAUUCGGACUAAUCUGCAAUCCCAGACAUUUAAUCCGCUCCGGACAUCGUUAAACACACAUCACACCUCUCCAGAUUUUGGGAUCUGUCUUUCUGCUGCCUUCUGGAUGGGGUUUGAUCUCUGCAGCAUAAACACAGUCCAAAGCUGACAGCUUCUGGAAAUGUCACUGAAUUAAAACACGAGGCGAGUGACAGUGUUCUCACUGUGUGUCAUAUAUCUUGUGAAUGAUGUGUGUUGAGCAGAAAUUUGCAUGUAGAUAGAGAAAUACAGUAGGAUGAGAGGUGCAGGAGAACUGACUGGGUCUCCCUGUAAAGGUUCACCUUAUAAAUACAUUUUACAUGUAACAGGUCUGCUCCAGGUCUCUGCUCUGACAGAGAGAGAGAGACAGAGAGAGACAGAGAGAGAGAGGGGCAAUGACAGAGAGCGAUAACAUCAAUGAUUGGGUCUGUCACUGCUGGAAAUGAUGCAAUUUUUCAAGUCUAGAUCAUGUGAAAAUUUUGCAAGUCCCACACAGGCAUUGUAGUGACUUUUUGCAUCCGAGCCAUUUAGUUACUCACAGUGUCAUUUAAUCAAAAUGUUUCCACUGAACACUCAUAGGAUGAAACCUAAAUUAGUGAAACAAUUUCAAGCAAAGAGGAAUAUUCUCCGAGUCAAAACAACGAGCCACAUUAGAAUCAAAUUUGGGAGACGACUCUUAUUGGUGAGCCGAGUCAAAUGAGCUGACUCCUUGACAUCCAAAUGUGAACAUAAACCUGUGAGUCGUGUGUUCGACUCUCAGAAAAAUCAAGUUGUUUUGUUCAUUACUAAAAAGAUUAACUCUUUAAACUAUUUCAGUCACUGAUAUGCAAAAUAUUAAGACAUAAUAUUAGGAAAUGUUAGGAUGAUAUUUUUUGAGUCAAAACAAUGAAAUUUGUGAGUCAAAAUCAUCUACUCUUAUUGGAGAGCUGAGUCAAAUGACCUGACUCAUUGAAAUGAGGCAUCAUUUCCAUCAACAGCAUGGUAGGCAUCAUCUGAAAUCUCCUUUGGGAUUGUGGCACAGAUUAGUAAGCAUAUGUAUCUCUGGUGAGCAUAUGUAGCUAGUAAAGUUAGCUUGCUUUUCUGAUUUCCUGAACAAACAUAGUAUGAAUCCUGAAUUCUUCAACUUCUUUGGAAGGUCUUAAACGUUCUACAUAGAAUUCAACGGUAAAGAAGUUUUUAAUGUAAAGAACUUGACUGUGUAAUUCCUGCUUCACGUUAAUACUUAUUUCUUAUGUUCCUAUGCCUCACAGCAUCACAGGGACACGAUUAGAUCCGUCGUCUAUUGUAGAGCUUAAUAAAGUGAUUAUUAAAUUUCUCUCGUGCCUUCAGAUGAUGAGUCUCUCGACUCCUUUGGGAUAAAAAUACUGAUUGGUGAACAGCCUUUUAUAUUAUAUGCAGAAUUAAUUAGUAAUGCUAGGACCGACAAGGCAUAGCAGAGAUAACUAGCGCUAGAAUAUGAACCGGUAUUAAAAUGAUAAAUUUCACAUUGUGAUUUGCUUUUGUUCCUGCUUUAGAAAUUCUGGUUUCUGUCUUCAUUAAGAUUUCAUGGAAAAUACUC